UACUCUUAAAGUAAUUAUACAAUACACUUUUUUGUUGGGGCGACAAGAAAGCAAUAUAACCUUUCUAUUGACACUAAAAGUGGUAUUAGAUCUGACGAUAUUAUUAUGAAUGACUAAACUACCUGAGGGAUAACAGCAUAAUGAUAAAUAUUAGUUUGUGACCUCGAUGUUGGACUAGGGACUAGUAC
rnacentral:rRNA from 1 species